rnacentral:rRNA from 1 species
CCCUUAGAUGUUCGGGGCCGCACGCGCGCUACACUGAAGGAAUCAGCACGUCUUUCUCCUUGUCCGAAAGGACUGGGUAACCCGCUGAACCUCCUUCGUGCUAGGGAUUGGGGCUUGUAAUUCUUCCCCAUGAACGAGGAAUUCCCAGUAAGCGCGAGUCAUAAGCUCGCGUUGAUUACGUCCCUGCCCUUUGUACACACCGCCCGUCGCUACUACCGAUUGGAUGGUUUAGUGAGAUCCUCGGAUUGGUCCCGGAGCGGCCUCUGGUCGUGCCGGAGUGCCGAAAAGAAGGUCGAACUUGAUCAUCUAGAGGAAGUAAAAGUCGUAACA